rnacentral:rRNA from 1 species
CUUAAGGAUCAUUACUGAAUAAAACUCGGUGGGCUUGAUGCUGGCUUUCUUUGAAGGCAUGUGCACCGCCUGUCGUCUUUAUUUCUUUUCCACCUGUGCACCCUUUGUAGGCUUGAACCGCUUUUUCUUUUGGCCUUUGGGUCAGUGUUGGGGACUGCUGACCGGCUGUCUUCUACUGUUCGAGUCUAUGUUUUCUUACACUAUACACCAUUGUUAAACCUUAGAAUGUUAAAGGCUCUACGUGUGCCUAUCUUAAACACUAUACAACUUUCAGCAACGGAUCUCUUGGCUCUCGCAUCGAUGAAGAACGCAGCGAAAUGCGAAUAAGUAAUGUGAAUUGCAGGAAUUCAGUGAAUCAUCGAAUCUUUGAACGCACCUUGCGCUCCUUGGUAUUCCGAGGAGCAUGCCUGUUUGAGUGUCAUUACAUUCUCAACCAUUGGAUUUGUUUUCGAUGGGUUGGACUUGGGGGUGUGUGCCGGCCCUAAAGGUCGGCUCCCCUUAAAUGCAUUAAGCUGGUUGCCCCUCUCGCGUCGACUUGGUGUGAUAAAUCUUACUUUGCGCCGUUUUUGACGUGGAUGUCUUUUGGGUGGCUGCUUUCUAACCGUCCCUUGUGGACAACGAUAAAAUCCCUCUUCGGAGGGCCUUUUUUGACCUCUCUUGACCUCAAAUCAGGUAAGGACUACCGGCUGAACUUAACGAGGU